AUGGGGUAAGAAGGGAAAAACAUUGAAGACUUGCAAUGGCCACUGAAGACACAGGGUGGCGACCAUUAGGGAGAUAUGAACCUGUUGUGUUAUUCUUUGGAAGACCUUUUAGACAUUUUUCAACACUAUCUGCCCUUUCAGGGCAUCUUUCAGUUGCCUGGGCCAUUUACUGAUAUCUUAAUGGAGUUGCUGCUAAGCUAAGCAUCAUAAUAGCUUAUAUAGGCACCACCAACUGAGAAACCACCACAACAAAAUUGAUCCUGUUUUCUCUCUCGCAAUUCCCAUUAUGAUCUUAUUUCCUUGGACCUCUAGAAUUUGCAUAUCUCUGCUUCAUGCAUAACUACGGCAAAUUAUUCUUGUAAAGUAAUCAGUUAAUAUGGGUAAAGCAUUUAGUACUUCUGUCAUAUUCGACACCAUGUAUGUGUUUUUUUCAAUAACUGAAUGAAUGACUAAACUUCUAAUCUGACAUACAUACAUAAGUUGUACUGUUGAAAGGAGAUGGUGAUGAGAGAAAAGGAAAGCCCGUAGUGAUUUAUGGAAUCACCAUUUGUAAUUUCUUGUCAUAAGGGAAUAUAUCUUCUUACUCCUUUUAAUUUUAGUAUGAAG
rnacentral:lncRNA from 1 species